rnacentral:rRNA from 1 species
AGCGUAGGCGGGUUAUCAAGUUGGAGGUGAAAGCCCAGGGCUCAACCUUGGAAUUGCCUUCAAAACUGAUAGCCUAGAGUAUGAUAGAGGUAAGUGGAACUCCGAGUGUAGAGGUGAAAUUCGUAGAUAUUCGGAAGAACACCAGUGGCGAAGGCGACUUACUGGAUCAUGACUGACGCUGAGGCUCGAAAGCGUGGGGAGCAAGCA